GGUUUUUUAGUUUAAAUAGAACCCCUAACUUGCACUUAGACAGUGAACGUGUUCAAAAACCA
rnacentral:tRNA from 1 species